GUAGUAGAUAAGAAAUGAAAAAGUACCAUUUCUCCAUCUCACUACUGUCUCUUCAUUUUCAAACCCUCUUCAUCUUCUCCAUCGAUGAAGACCCACGACUAACGGGGAACAUCGGCCUGGUAUAUUGAAAGCAUUGAAUGAGAUAAAUCUAGAUCUAGAAGCCGCUGGAGUUGUGAUUCUCUCUAGAAUUUUCGGUAGAUUUCGCCGGCCAUUCAAUCUCAUCUUCAGUGGGCGAACGCGUUCCCAGUCAUGCAUGUUUUGUCGUGACAGUCUUAAAAGAGUAAAUCCUGGUGAUCUCUGGGUAUUUACUGAUAACAGGGACAUUGUGGACAUGGCAAUGGUGACACGAGAGAAUUUGAAAAGGCUUUUCAAGUACAUAGAUAAAUUGCCUACUAUUGUUCCAGACUCUUAGACAAAUUGCCUACUAUUGUUCCAGACUCUUAGAUAAAUUGCCUACUAUUGUUCCAGACUCCUUUUUUCGACGCCUAUAGUACACACCUAAGAUAAGUGAUUGGUACACACAUAAUCUAAUAUCAAUCCUUAAGUAGUUUUUCUCCAAAUGAACAGUCCUUUUGUUAUGAUGUGGCAUGACAAAAUGACCGGAAUUCAUUCGGCUAAAAGUUAGGAAAAGUUGGAGAAGACUUGCAACUAUUUCUUCCCACUUCCAUUUCUAAAGGGAGAAAAAACCAGUCUUUCAGUUAUUGUAGACUGGUAUUGGGUAGGAAAGUUGAUAUGGUUUGAUUUAAUUCUUUCAUAAAAAUUGUAUUUAAACACAUUUGUAUGUGUUUGUACAUUCUUGAUGUUAUCUAUUAAAGCAGCUUUGAAUGCUUAAUUUUUAAUACGCAAAGAGAUUUUUGGAGUUGACUAUGGCUCAUAGGGGAGAAGGCAUUGAAAGUCAAUAGGUGCUAUGUCACCCUUUCGACUCAUUUAAAUUUUUGUUUCAACCGUAUGUGUUAUUGUUUUAUUGUUAUUGUAUAUGCAUUUUUUUUCUUUUAGAGAAUAGACAUUUGCUGAAAUCGGGUUAUGUGACUGCUAUAAGACCUCCAACUCAUGCAGGUUUGCGUUCUUUUGAAUCUCAUAAAAUAUUAGUUCUUUGGAUUUUCCUUGAUUUUUUACUUUUUCAUAUGACUCUUAAACUUCAGUAUAUGUGAUUAUUCAUUUCUUAGAGGGAAUCUAUUUUCAAGCCAAACACCAUUAUGUUGUGAAGCUAAGGGAUCGUGUAGAUGGCCAGGCGAUUGGAAUGAUUAAAGUCAUAUCGGGUUGAAAGUUAAGCAAUUUUGUAGAUAGCCAGACGAUCAUUAAAGGUUGAAGGCUGAGAAGGCGUUUAGGAUUUCUUAUAAGUCUUGUAUUAGGAUAUUUUUUCAUGUAUCGUUGUAGAAUGUAUAUAUAAACACAAUAUUAAGAUUUCAUUUUGUGUAUACAAAUGUAAAAGAUAAAUAUUAUAGUUUUUGAAAUAAUAUUAAUUUUAUUGAUUUGUUGA